AUACGGAGGAUCCGAGCGUUAUCCGGAUUUAUUGGGUUUAAAGGGUGCGCAGGCGGCCAUUUAAGUCAGCGGUUAAAUCGUGGGGCUCAACCCCAUUCUGCCGUUGAUACUGGGAGGCUUGAUUGCGGUCGAGGUUGGCGGAAUUCGUUGUGUAGCGGUGAAAUGCAUAGAUAUGACGAAGAACACCGAUUGCGUAGGCAGCUGACCAGAUCGCAAAUGACGCUCAUGCACGAAAGUGCGGGGAUCGAACAGGAUUAGAUACCCUGGUAGUCCGCACAGUAAACGAUGAAUACUUGUUUUCGGCGAUAUAAUGUCGGAGGCAAAGCGAAAGCGAUAAGUAUUCCACCUGGGGAGUACGCCGGCAACGGUGAAACUCAAAUGAAUUGACGGGG
rnacentral:rRNA from 1 species